GUUACAGUCCCCUAGCAACAACUAUCACAAUUCUAUAACAACAACACUCACUAAAUUCCCAAUAUUUUAUAACAAAGCUGACUAUAAUCCUCUAAACUUUAGAAAUGAUUCUACCUGCUUCAAGAGGUUUUCCACUUGACUGGCAGAUACGUCAAAGCAGCAGUUGUGGACCACAACCUGCAGCACUGGACACUGGGUUCCCCAGCUACGAAUGCCAGCAGAGACUCUUGUCUAUAUGAUGUGGGCCGAUCCAGCCAAACAUAAUUGUUCCCUGUCUCUACAGCUAGACAGAGACUCCCAGAUCCUAGCAGUGACCCAAGUUCUCUGAAGAAGAAUAUGAGGCACCACGAUGUCUCCACCUGGAUGAUGGCAAUGCUGACCUCUAGGCAAGAUGCCCCAAUGUGACACCUGCUACCAGGACCUAGCCACCUGUAUGGACAAACACCAGGACAUUAGAGAAUUGAUUGCACCCCUUUUGCUUGGACAAGGAUGAAUGGAGGUACUUCUACCUCCUGAGAAAUAUCAGAUGCGAUGGCUCCUGUACUCUUGAUUUGGUGUGUCAUUUCCCCAAGCUCCUGGAACAUCACUGCUGCAACCGGCCUUCUCAGCUCCCUCAAGGAACAGAUACCUGAGAUCUUCACAAUGACAGCUAACUGAAUGCUUCUUCACUCACACCUCCCACAAUGUGUGACUCACAACUUCCCCCUCCCCACUUUGCCCCCAAAUCAGCAGGAAGCAGUCUUGAGAAUUUGGCAUCCUCAUUUCCCCUACUUGUUAUCUAUAACUCACCUUUUAUAAUAAUCAAAAUGGAGGAAUGUUAGUACUCUGACUCACCCCUUGAAGACCUGCCCAGAGUCCUGAUGUAAUCUUACAUUGAAGCCCCCUUAAGAGGAAAAAACUCUUCCCCCCUCCUCUCACCAGAGGUAGCACGCACCUCUCUCUCUCUCUCUCUCUCUCUCUCUC